AAAUGAUGUAACUUCCUUGGUGGGAAAACAACUGUGGUGAACUUUAGACAUGAUCCACCCGCCAUUUGUGCACCGUGAUCUGGUUCUUCUUUGAGGCCAGUCAUGGCAAGGGGGCACCAGAUGGUGUUGUAGGGGCCCUCAAGAAGAGAUCUGCAGAUAGAGCUGUGCACCAUGGAAAGGAUAUCCCAGAUGCACGGGCCCUGUACAAUGUCCUAAAGGUUCUUAUCUCCUCUGUGAUGUUCUUCAUCAAUGAGAGUGAUGUUGAGGCAAGAGCAGAGAUGCCUGCCUUAGAUGCCAUUAAAGGAACGAUGAAGAUUCAUCAGGUUAUCAGUGUCUCACCAGGCCAGAUAAAAUACAGGGACAUUACUUGUCUGUGCAAGAAGAAUAGUGGCAUGUUGGACUGUCCCUUGUUUUCAGCUCAAAGAGUCAUUUACAUGUUUCCCCUUAAACCACUCGAGUGUUGCUUUAACAGUAUGCUUAGGGUCAUUGUCCUGCUGGAAGGGGAACCUCUGUCCCAGUCUAAAAUCUCUGGAAGACUGAAACA